GGGGGUAUAGCUCAGUGGUAGGGUGUUUGACUCCAGAUCAAGUGGGCCUUAGUUCAAAGCCAAGUGCUCCCU